ACUAACUAAUGGUUAGUAUCCAUAACUGUUAAGGUUAUGAGAAGGAAGACGCAGUGAACUGAAACAUCUAAGUAGCUGCAGGAAGAGAAAGCAAACGCGAUUGCCUUAGUAGCGGCGAGCGAAACGGCAGGAGGGCAAACCGGAGUGUUUACACUUCGGGGUUGUAGGACUGCGACGUGGGACUUUAAAAGGAUAGAAGAAUUACCUGGGAAGGUAAGCCAAAGAGAGU
rnacentral:rRNA from 1 species